UACAGGGGGGGCAAGCGUUGUUCGGAAUUACUGGGCGUAAAGGGCUCGUAGGCGGCCAACUAAGUCCGACGUGAAAUCCCAAGGCUUAACCUUGGAACUGCGUCGGAUACUGGUUGGCUUGAAUUCGGGAGAGGGAUGCGGAAUUCCAGGUGUAGCGGUGAAAUGCGUAGAUAUCUGGAGGAACACCGGUGGCGAAGGCGGCAUCCUGGACCAACACUGACACUGAGGCGCGAAAGCGUGGGUAGCAAACGGG
rnacentral:rRNA from 1 species